ACGGCUCAGUAACCCGUGGAUAACCUGCCCUUGGGUCUGGCAUAACCCCGGGAAACUGGGGAUAAUACCGGAUAACGCAUAUAUGCUGGAAUUCUUUAUGCGUGAAAUGGAUUCGUCUGCCCAAGGAUGGGUCUGCGGCCUAUCAGGUAGUAGUGGGUGUAAUGUACCUACUAGCCGACGACGGGUACGGGUUGUGAGAGCAAGAGCCCGGAGAUGGAUUCUGAGACAUGAAUCCAGGCCCUACGGGGCGCAGCAGGCGCGAAAACUUUACAAUGCGGGAAACCGUGAUAAGGGGACACCGAGUGCCAGCAUCAUAUGUUGGCUGUCCGGGUGUGUAAAAUACACCUGUUAGCAAGGGCCGGGCAAGACCGGUGCCAGCCGCCGCGGUAACACCGGCGGCCCGAGUGGUGAUCGUGUUUAUUGGGUCUAAAGGGUCCGUAGCCGGUUUGGUCAGUCCUCCGGGAAAUCUGACGGCUUAACCGUUAGGCCUUCGGGGGAUACUGCCAGACUUGGAACCGGGAGAGGUAAGAGGUACUACAGGGGUAGGAGUGAAAUCUUGUAAUCCCUGUGGGACCACCUGUGGCGAAGGCGUCUUACCAGAACGGGUUCGACGGUGAGGGACGAAAGCUGGGGGCACGAACCGGAUUAGAUACCCGGGUAGUCCCAGCCGUAAACGAUGCUCGCUAGGUGUCAGGCAUGGCGCGACCGUGUCUGGUGCCGCAGGGAAGCCGUGAAGCGAGCCACCUGGGAAGUACGGCCGCAAGGCUGAAACUUAAAGGAAUUGGCGGGGGAGCAC
rnacentral:rRNA from 1 species